AUGGCUAAAACCAGUGCUUCAGUUGUUCUAGCUGUCCUUGUUGUAGAAUUAUUUCUGAAUGGCUAUAAUGCUGCUGAGGGUGUAGAAAGAGGUUAUCAACCUAAGAAAGCAGGAGUAGGUUGCUCUUUCGAAAUAUGUCCCAAUACCGACUGUUUAGAAUAUUGUAAGUCAAAAGGCUUCCCUAAAGGUGGUUUUUGUUUUGGAUCACGACCCUCUGGAAUCUGUUGUUGCUUUGAAGAUGAUUAA